AGUGAACGCUGGCGGUAGGCCUAACACAUGCAAGUCGAACGGCAGCACAGGAGAGCUUGCUCUCUAGGUGGCGAGUGGCGGACGGGUGAGGAAUACAUCGGAAUCUGCCCAGUCGUGGGGGAUAACGUAGGGAAACUUACGCUAAUACCGCAUACGACCUUCGGGUGAAAGAGGGGGAUCGCAAGACCUCUCGCGAUUGGAUGAGCCGAUGUCGGAUUAGCUAGUUAGCGGGGUAAUGGCCCACCAAGGCGACGAUCCGUAGCUGGUCUGAGAGGAUGAUCAGCCACACUGGAACUGAGACACGGUCCAGACUCCUACGGGAGGCAGCAGUGGGGAAUAUUGGACAAUGGGCGCAAGCCUGAUCCAGCCAUACCGCGUGGGUGAAGAAGGCCUUCGGGUUGUAAAGCCCUUUUGUUGGGAAAGAAAUCUUUCAGGCUAAUACCCUGGGAGGAUGGCGGUACCCAAAGAAUAAGCACCGGCUAACUUCGUG
rnacentral:rRNA from 1 species